rnacentral:rRNA from 1 species
AGCGAACGUUAGCGGCGCGCUUAACACAUGCAAGUCGCACGAGAAAGGGAGCAAUCCCCGGUACAGUGGCGCACGGGUGCGUAACACGUACACAACAUACCUUUAAGCGGGAGAUAGCAUCGGGAAACUGGUGGUAAUACCCCAUAAUAUUGCGAUGCGGCAUCACAUUGCAAUUAAAGUUUCGACGCUUAAAGAUUGGUGUGCGUCCGAUUAGCUAGUUGGCGGGGUAACGGCCCACCAAGGCUACGAUCGGUAGGGGGUGUGAGAGCAUGACCCCCCCACAUGGGUACGUGAGACACGGACCCAACUCCUACGGGAGGCAGCAGUAAGGAAUAAUUGGACAAUGGACGAAAGUACUGAUCCAG